UACGUAGGGAGCAAGCGUUUGUCCGGAAUCAUUGGGCGUAAAGCGCGCGUAGGUGGCCCCAUAAGUCCGCUGUGAAAGUCAAAGGCUCAACCUUUGAAAGCCGGUGGAUACUGUGGGACUAGAGUACGGAAGAGGCGAGUGGAAUUCCUGGUGUAGCGGUGGAAUGCGCAGAUAUCAGGAGGAACACCAAUAGCGAAGGCAGCUCGCUGGGACGUUAACUGACACUGGAGGCGCGAAAGCGUGGG
rnacentral:rRNA from 1 species